rnacentral:rRNA from 1 species
CCUACGGGUGGCUGCAGUGGGGAAUAUUGGACAAUGGGGGAAACCCUGAUCCAGCGACGCCGCGUGGGUGAUGAAGGCUUUCGGGUCGUAAAGCCCUGUCAGGAGGAAAGAACGCUCCUAUGGUGAAUACCCAUAGGAAGUGACGGUACCUCCAAAGGAAGCACCGGCCAACUCCGUGCCAGCAGCCGCGGUAAGACGGAGGGUGCAAGCGUUGCUCGGAAUCACUGGGCGUAAAGGGUGCGUAGGCGGCCUCUUAAGUCUGGCGUGAAAGCCCAGGGCUCAGCCUUGGAAGUGCGCUAGAAACUGGGGGGCUUGAGUAUCGGAUGGGAGAGUGGAAUUCCUGGUGUAGCGGUGAAAUGCGUAGAUAUCAGGAGGAAUACCGGUGGCGAAGGCGACUCUCUGGACGAUAACUGACGCUGAGGCACGAAAGCGUGGGGAGCAAACAGGAUUAGAUACCCUGG